UUAUUUUUGGCUAAAAGAAAAUGUGGAAGAUAUUUGUAAGAAUGCAGAGGCAAGUUUUAGUUUGGAUCAAAUAUCUUCACAUGAUUAUGAACAAAAUAUCCAAGAUGUGGUGAAUGUACAAACAUCAUCACAGGAUUAUGAACAAAAUAUCCAAGAUGUGGUGAAUGUACAAACAUCAUCACAGGAUUACGAGUUAAAUACACAUGAUCUUUUAACUGAUAUUGUUAAUCCUACUGAUAUAUAAGA